UACGAAGGGGGCUAGCGUUGCUCGGAAUCACUGGGCGUAAAGCGCACGUAGGCGGAUUGUUAAGUCAGGGGUGAAAUCCUGGAGCUCAACUCCAGAACUGCCUUUGAUACUGAAGAUCUUGAGUCCGGGAGAAGUGAGUGGAACUGCGAGUGUAGAGGUGAAAUUCGUAGAUAUUCGCAAGAACACCAGUGGCGAAGGCGGCUCACUGGCCCGGUACUGACGCUGAGGCACGAAAGCGUGGGGAGCAAACAGG
rnacentral:rRNA from 1 species